CACGUAGGGUGCGAGCGUUGUCCGGAAUUAUUGGGCGUAAAGAGCUCGUAGGCGGUGUGUCGCGUCGGCCGUGAAAACCUGCAGCUUAACUGUGGGCUUGCGGUCGAUACGGGCAUCACUGGAGUUCGGCAGGGGAGACUGGAAUUCCUGGUGUAGCGGUGAAAUGCGCAGAUAUCAGGAAGAACACCCGUGGCGAAGGCGGCUCUCUGGGACGGUACUGACGCUGAGACGCGAAAGCGUGGGGAGCGAACAGG
rnacentral:rRNA from 1 species